rnacentral:rRNA from 1 species
UGUAAGCGUAUACCAAAGUUGUUGCAGUUAAAACGCUCGUAGUCGGACUUUGGCAGUUCCGGAUGUGUGCACGUCGUGUGCGCACUUCGCGGGGAUUGCUUUUGUGGUCUUGCGUAGGAUGAGGCACUUUUAUUAGUGAACGUCCUCACGCAACCACUUUUUACUGUGAGAAAAUCAGAGUGCUCAAAGCAGGCAUUUGCCGUGAAUGUAUUAGCAUGGAAUAAUAGAAUAGGACUUGGUUCUACUUUGUUGGUUUGUUGGGACUGAGUAAUGAUUAAGAGGGACAGUUGGGGGCAUUUGUAUUUCGGUGCUAGAGGUGAAAUUCUUAGAUUACCGAAAGACAAACUGCUGCGAAAGCGUCUGCCAAGGAUGUUUUCAUUGA